CACGUAGGGUGCGAGCGUUGUCCGGAAUUAUUGGGCGUAAAGAGCUCGUAGGCGGUUUGUCGCGUCGGCCGUGAAAUCUCCACGCUUAACGUGGAGCGUGCGGUCGAUACGGGCAGACUUGAGUUCGGUAGGGGAGACUGGAAUUCCUGGUGUAGCGGUGAAAUGCGCAGAUAUCAGGAGGAACACCGGUGGCGAAGGCGGGUCUCUGGGCCGUAACUGACGCUGGAGGAGCGAAAGCGUGGGGAGCGAACAGG
rnacentral:rRNA from 1 species